rnacentral:rRNA from 1 species
UACGAGGGCCCCAAGCGUUAUCCGGAUUUAUUGGGCGUAAAGCGUCCGUCGGUGGUUUAUCGCAUCUCCUGUUAAAUCUCGAGGCCCAACCUCGAGUCAGCGGGAGAGAUGGAUAAACUAGAGGCCGGAAGAGGCAAACGGAAUUGCUGGUGUAGGGGUUAAAUCCAUUAAUAUCAGCAGGAACACCAAAUGCGUAGGCAGUUUGCUGGAACGGUUCUGACACUCAGAGGACGAAAGCGUGGGGAGCGAAUGGGAUUAGAUACCCCAGUAGUCCACGCCGUAAACGAUGGAUACUAAGCAUUGGAAGUAUCGACCCUUUCAGUGUUGUUAAUUUAAGGUAACCCGUUAAGUAUCCCGCCUGGGGAGUACGAGCGCAAGCUUAAAACUCAAAGGAAUAGACGGGGACCCGCACAAGCGGUGGAUCAUGUGGUUUAAUUCGACAAUAAGCGUAGAACCUCACCAAGGCUUGACAUCUAGCUGCAAGUCCUAGAAAUAGGAUCGCCUUCGAGGGUGCUAGACAGAUGCUGCAUGGUUGUCGUCAGCUCGUGUCGUGAGAUGUACCGUUCAGUCGGGAAACGAGCGCAACCCUUAUCCUAUGUUUUAUAUGUCAUAGGAGACUGCCCGUUUUAAAUGGGAGGAAGGCGGGAUGACGUCAAAUCAGCAUGGUUCUUAUGCCUUGGGCAACACACGUGAUACAAUGGGAAGUACAAAGGGAAGCCAAACCGUAAGGUGGAGCCAAUCCCUAAAAACUUCUCUCAGUUCGGAUUGAGGUCUGAAAUUCGACCUCAUGAAGUUGGAAUCGCUAGUAAUCGUGGAUCAGCUAUGCCACGGUGAAUACGUUCUCGGGUCU